rnacentral:rRNA from 1 species
UAAUACGUAGGGAGCAAGCGUUGUUCGGAAUUAUUGGGCGUAAAGAGCGCGUAGGCGGCUUGGCAAGUCUGGUGUGAAAUCUCACAGCUUAACUGUGAAACUGCAUCAGAAACUGCUUGGCUAGAGUGCGGGAGAGGAGAGUGGAAUUCCCAGUGUAGAGGUGAAAUUCGUAGAUACUGGGAGGAACACCGGUGGCGAAGGCGGCUCUCUGGACCGCAACUGACGCUGAGGCGCGAAAGCUAGGGGAGCAAACGGGAUUAGAUACCCCGGUAGUCCUAGCCGUAAACGAUGGGCACUAGGUGUGGGGGGAAUUGACCCCUUCCGUGCCGCAGCUAACGCAUUAAGUGCCCCGCCUGGGGAGUACGGUCGCAAGACUA